UACGGAGGGGGCUAGCGUUGUUCGGAAUUACUGGGCGUAAAGCGCACGUAGGCGGCUUUGCAAGUUAGAGGUGAAAGCCCGGGGCUCAACUCCGGAAUUGCCUUUAAAACUGCAUCGCUAGAAUUGUGGAGAGGUAAGUGGAAUUCCGAGUGUAGAGGUGAAAUUCGUAGAUAUUCGCAAGAACACCAGUGGCGAAGGCGGCUCACUGGCCCGGUACUGACGCUGAGGUGCGAAAGCGUGGGGAGCAAACAGG
rnacentral:rRNA from 1 species